AUUGAACGCUGGCGGCAUGCCUUACACAUGCAAGUCGAACGGCAGCACGGGAGCAAUCCUGGUGGCGAGUGGCGAACGGGUGAGUAAAGUAUCGGAACGUGCCCAGUCGUGGGGGAUAACGUAGCGAAAGUUACGCUAAUACCGCAUACGAUCUAUGGAUGAAAGCGGGGGAUCGCAAGACCUCGCGCGAUUGGAGCGGCCGAUAUCAGAUUAGGUAGUUGGUGGGGUAAAGGCUCACCAAGCCGACGAUCUGUAGCUGGUCUGAGAGGACGACCAGCCACACUGGACUGGGACACGGCCCAGACUCCUACGGGAGGCAGCAGUGGGGAAUUUUGGACAAUGGGCGCAAGCCUGAUCCAGCCAUGCCGCGUGCAGGAUGAAGGCCUUCGGGUUGUAAACUGCUUUUGUACGGAACGAAAAGGUUUGACUUAAUACGUUGGACUCAUGACGGUACCGUAAGAAUAAGCACCGGCUAACUACGUGCCAGCCGCCGCCGUAA
rnacentral:rRNA from 1 species